AUUGAACGUUGGCGGCAUGCUUUACACAUGCAAGUCGAACGGUAACAGGCCGCAAGGUGCUGACGAGUGGCGAACGGGUGAGUAAUGCAUCGGAACGUGCCCAGUCGUGGGGGAUAACUACUCGAAAGAGUAGCUAAUACCGCAUACGAUCUAUGGAUGAAAGCGGGGGACCGUAAGGCCUCGCGCGAUUGGAGCGGCCGAUGUCAGAUUAGGUAGUUGGUGGGGUAAAGGCUCACCAAGCCAACGAUCUGUAGCUGGUCUGAGAGGACGACCAGCCACACUGGGACUGAGACACGGCCCAGACUCCUACGGGAGGCAGCAGUGGGGAAUUUUGGACAAUGGGCGCAAGCCUGAUCCAGCAAUGCCGCGUGCAGGAAGAAGGCCUUCGGGUUGUAAACUGCUUUUGUACGGAACGAAACGGCUCUGGUUAAUACCCGGGGCUAAUGACGGUACCGUAAGAAUAAGCACCGGCUAACUACGUG
rnacentral:rRNA from 1 species